rnacentral:rRNA from 1 species
UACAGGGGGUGCAAACGUUGCUCGGAAUUAUUGGGCGUAAAGCGCACGUAGGCGGUUCGUUAUGUCGGAUGUGAAAGCCCUUGGCUCAACUGAGGAAGUGCAUCCGAAACUGGCGAGCUAGAGUAUGUAAGAGGGUCGCGGAAUUCCCGGUGUAAAGGUGAAAUUCGUAGAUAUCGGGAGGAACACCGGUGGCGAAGGCGGCGACCUGGGACAAUACUGACGCUGAGGUGCGAAAGCGUGGGGAGCAAACAGG